UGGGAAUUUGGACAAUUGGGCGAAAGCCUGAUCCAGCAAUGCCGCGUGUGUGAAGGAGGCCUUCGGGUUGUAAAGCACUUUUGUCCGGAAAGAAAUCCUUGGCUCUAAUACAGUCGGGGGAUGACGGUACCGGAAGAAUAAGCACCGGCUAACUACGUGCCAGCAGCCGCGGUAAUACGUAGGGUGCAAGCGUUAAUCGGAAUUACUGGGCGUAAAGCGUGCGCAGGCGGUUUGCUAAGACCGAUGUGAAAUCCCCGGGCUCAACCUGGGAACUGCAUUGGUGACUGGCAGGGCUAGAGUGUGGCAGAGGGGGGUAGAAUUCCACGUGUAGCAGUGAAAUGCGUAGAGAUGUGGAGGAAUACCGAUGGCGAAGGCAGCCCCCUGGGCCAAUACUGACGCUCAUGCACGAAAGCGUGGGGAGCAAAACAGGAUUAGAUACCCUGGUAGUCCACGCCCUAAACGAUGUCAACUAGUUGUUGGGGAUUCAUUUCC
rnacentral:rRNA from 1 species